UACGGAGGGUGCAAGCGUUAUCCGGAUUCACUGGGUUUAAAGGGUGCGUAGGUGGGUUGAUAAGUCAGUGGUGAAAUCCCCGAGCUUAACUUGGGAACUGCCAUUGAUACUAUCUGUCUUGAAUACCGUGGAGGUGAGCGGAAUAUGUCAUGUAGCGGUGAAAUGCUUAGAUAUGACAUAGAACACCAAUUGCGAAGGCAGCUCGCUACACGAAUAUUAACUCUGAGGCACGAAAGCGUGGGGAUCAAACAGG
rnacentral:rRNA from 1 species